CCAACUUCGCUUGUCUUGCCAACCUUCCUGGAACAGAAUAGAGGGUUGCAGCUUUUCUAGCUCUCGAUUCAUCUGUAAGGACGUUCAAGCUGAGGAUCAAGGAUUCUGAAGAAAAAACUUCCACAUCCUACAUCAUGUCAAGCGCUUAAAGAUCUGCCAGCAAGUCUGCCUCUAAGUUUGGGUUGGAUGAUAUCGACAACAUGCUCUAUCCUCGCUCCAUCAAGAAAGAGUUGGCCAAGGGCCAAAGCAUCCUUAAGCCCAAGGCUGUGACGACUGGGGCCAAAUCUGGGUCUAAAAGGAAAAACUUGUGGAGCCAGAAGAUGAUGCCUUCAAGGUUGAGAGGCAAUUCCACGAGUUCGUCACCGAAAGGUUUGUACGCUUGAAGGCCCAUCAUGAGAAGAACCUAGCUGAGAUGACAAAUAUACCCUCACAUGUUAGGCAUGUGAGGAAACUAAACUGAGAAAAUUAACUUGGUUAGUCG